rnacentral:rRNA from 1 species
CACGUACUGUGCGAACGUUAUUCGGAAUCACUGGGCUUAAAGGGUACGUAGGCGGUUUACCAAGUCAGAUGUGAAAUGCUACAGCUCAACUGUAGCACUGCGUUUGAAACUGGUAGGCUAGAGUAUUCCAGGGGUGUGCGGAACUUAUGGUGGAGCGGUGAAAUGCGUUGAUAUCAUGAGGAACACCGGAGGCGAAGGCGGCACACUGGGGGAUAACUGACGCUGAGGUACGAAAGCCAGGGUAGCGAACGGG